AACGAACGCUGGCGGCAUGCCUAACACAUGCAAGUCGAACGAGACCUUCGGGUCUAGUGGCGCACGGGUGCGUAACGCGUGGGAACCUGCCCUUAGGUUCGGAAUAACUCCCCGAAAGGGGUGCUAAUACCGGAUAAUGUCUUCGGACCAAAGAUUUAUCGCCUUUGGAUGGGCCCGCGUUGGAUUAGCUAGUUGGUAGGGUAAAAGCCUACCAAGGCGACGAUCCAUAGCUGGUCUGAGAGGAUGAUCAGCCACACUGGGACUGAGACACGGCCCAGACUCCUACGGGAGGCAGCAGUGGGGAAUAUUGGACAAUGGGCGAAAGCCUGAACCAGCAAUGCCGCGUGAGUGAUGAAGGCCUUAGAGUUGUAAAGCUCUUUUACCCGGGAUGAUAAUGACAGUACCGGGAGAAUAAGCACCGGCUAACUCCGUG
rnacentral:rRNA from 1 species